rnacentral:tRNA from 1 species
UCUAAAUUGGCAGAGUAAGUGCAAAGAGUUUAGAUCUCUUAUAUAAAUUAGUAUUUAUUUAGAA